rnacentral:misc_RNA from 1 species
AACGCAAAUUGCGCUCGAGGCCUUCGGGUCAAGAGCAUGUCUGUUUCAGCGUCGGCUAUCCAAUCAAACCUCUUUUCUUUUGUGGAAAGAGGCUUCGGAGCUGACUGUCUCCAGCCUGCAUGGGCAGGAGUCUGUCGAAUAGCAUCGGCUAUGGUGACCCAUUUAAGGGGAUCCGGAUUGGUAGGUGACCUUACGGUUACAAAGCCACCGGAGCCCUGAGCGUUGCUGUAGCCUGCAGGAAUCGAGGAGUGGAAGCUCCUUUCCUUUCGACCUGAAAUCAGGCAAGACCACCCGCUGAACUUAA